CCUGUGGUCACCAUGUGGUCCAUCUAUUUUUUCAGCAUUACCCUGAAGCAAUGAAAAUAGCUCCAGGGAAGGAGAUAGGUUAGGCUUUGUAUGACUGUUUUUCUGGUCCUCAUCUCCAGGAAGGCCCAUCCUGUGCCUUCAUCUGCCCCCUGAAUGAGAAAUUUUCCAUGUUGACUCCUUCCCUAGGUCCUCCCAGGAUGGUACUGACAGUGAAUUGCAACUGAGCGAGCAAAGGGAAGAGGACACACUUUUGAUCUUUUUUUUUUUUUUUUUUUUUCCAGCCAGCAUCAAUAAGGAGCAGGUUUUAGAGGGUGGAGCAUCUGACCUGUCUAAUUUUAUCGGAUUGCCACUGUGUAGUGCUGUACUCACGGUCACGUGGAAACUGCUGAGGGAAAAGGCCUUUCUGAAAUAUCAGACUGACUUCCUUUUGGGGUGUGGAAACAGAGACCUAAGACAUGCAAGAACACCAUGGAAGAUGCAUUUCCUUUGCCCACUGUUUGGAAGACUCAUUUAUAUUGCUCAGAGAUGUAUAAAGAUGUGGUGGGGCAUGAGGGGGAAGAAGGGAGGAGAGAGGAGAUAGCAGGAGGAGUGUUCCAGUGUUGAUCAGGAUGCAGUAACUAAUAACCCAAGCAGAACCAUAAAGAAAAACAAAAUGUUCAGACUGCUGAGAUGAAUAAGGGAGUCAAG
rnacentral:lncRNA from 1 species